rnacentral:misc_RNA from 1 species
GAUGAAGAACGCAGCGAAAUGCGAUAAGUAGUGUGAAUUGCAGAAUUCAGUGAAUCAUCGAAUCUUUGAACGCACAUUGCGCCCUUUGGUAUUCCAUCGGGCAUGCCUGUUCGAGCGUCAUUUUACUCUUCAAGCUUUGCUUGGUGUUGGGUGUUUGUUCUGCUUUGGCUUAAACUCACCUUAAAUUUAUUGGCAGCCAGUUCUGUCUUCUGUACGCAGCAGAGUGCGUUAGCGGAAGCAAAGUACUUGGUCCUCCAUAACCAUUCUUAGUUUGACCUCGGAUCAGGUAGGGAUACCCGCUGAACUUAAGCAUAUCAAUAAGCGGAGGA